rnacentral:lncRNA from 1 species
AAGCCUCCAAUCAGCGCAUCCAACUGGCAACAUUUUCCGUGAUAGAAUUCCAAUAACACUAGAAAGCUUCCUAUAAUUUUCUCCAACAGGCUGCCCUAUUGACUUUAGUUCUAUUUUAAUUUUAGUCAUUGUGCCAGGUUCUUUUAAUAAUAUAUCAUCCAUUCUACUGAGACUCCUUCCGCCUUUCCUCUUCUUUUUUGUAUUACUAUGCAUAUCUGCAACUAUAAGGUUCAUCAAGAAAUAGCUACAAGAUUACAAAGUGUGAUAAUAUGCUACG